ensembl:snoRNA Gm23175 predicted gene, 23175
CCUGCCACUGAAGGCAUUGCAGAUGUGGCUGCUGUGUCACAUGUGCAUCAGAAGGUGGCAGAGGGGAGAGACGCUAUGAGUAUGCUCAGUGUUCUUUCCUACGAACAUCUGAAUGAUUAGCAGCCUAACUUA